GGUUCCCGCUCGCGCCUCUCCCUCCACACCUCCCUGCAAGCUGAGGGAGUGGACUCUGGCCUUGGCCAGCCCAGAAAGGGGCUCCCACAGUGCAGCCGUGGGCUGAAGGGCUCCUCAAGUGCCGCCAAAGUGGGAGCCCAGGCAGAGGAGUCGCCGAGAGCGAGCGCGGGCUGUGAGGACUGCCAGCACGCUGUCACCUCUCAAUAACGCCCAUCCCAACGUUUCCUGAGGAAUAAUUUUGGUCGUGUUCCUGCUACUCAGCUUUUCGUGGUUCCUGCUCAUUUUCAGAGUCUAACAUUCCAGCUUUUCCGGAAAUUCUAUACUUUGAUGUAAAAGUUUUCAAAGAAAUGCUUUGGGCAGAAGAGACUCAUGGAAACUGGACACUAUAUCUGGAGCCAGGAAUAAUAGGAUCCGAGAAACAGUAACAAGUAUAAAACAAAGUGGUCUUGAACUCCUGGCCUCAAGUAAUCCUCCCCACUG
rnacentral:lncRNA from 1 species